GCGGACGUAGCUCAGCUGGCUAGAGCACCACCUUGCCAAGGUGGGGGUCGCGGGUUCGAAUCCCGUCAUCCGCU
rnacentral:tRNA from 1 species